rnacentral:lncRNA from 1 species
CACAUUCCUGGCCAAUGGGAGCUGCAGAGCCAGCGCUCAGGGCGGGGCAAGGCGGUGCACAGAGCCUCCCAGGCAGUCCCUGUGCCUAGGAGUCAGAGGGACACGUUGCCACUUCUGGGAGCCGCACGGAGUCAGGUAGGGAGCCUGCCAGCCCUGACAACUGGACAUUUAACGACCGGAGCCACCAGGGUUCCUUUUUGACCAGGUGUUCCGUUCAAAAACCGGAUGCCUGGAAACCCUAUUUGAAAGGACAGAGAGCCUAGAAACCUGUUCCAGAUAGAUUCUUCUCCCAUUUUGCCCUAACACACAUUACAAACAUACCAGAAGAUAGGGAUAGAAUGAAGGUUGGUAUUGGAAAGGAACAACUAGCAAGGGGCCAAAGCCAGCUUGCCUUACUGACAAAUCAAUAGAUCUAGAGACAUUAUUUAUUAUUAUGUGUUUGUUUAUUAUAGUGACCAUGAUGUGCUAGGGACUUUCCAGACAUUUCCGUGAGCAGACGUGGGACGACACACAGCUGAUUCGCUCUCAGAAGAAAAAUAUUCAGGAAAGGAAAUUUUGUGCUGUUGAUUUGGAUGCCUGCUCCCACCCCUUCCCACCAUCUCACUUCUCUCGCCCUUCCUUCAGAAAAUGGAAGGACUGACGGAGAAAGUAUGGGCUGGAACUAUGCAAGUAGCCUAGCUCUGAGGCUAAACCUCAUUCCUCACCUGCAACAUCUGUAUACCCAACAUUCCCAAUUUCUGCAGGAGGCUCCUGGUUUAUUUGGAUGCUAUCCCAUUCCAGGACUGCCUAGAAAACAACGUACAAUGAUGCAAAACAAUUUUUCUCAUGCUGUCAUUUCUUUUUUACAAUGUUUUAUCAUUGCUGAUACGCCGUACUGUAUUGCCUGACAACCUACAUGGUGACGUCCCUCAUGGUGCUGUUUGUUGACAUCAGUGAUGCCAUUAUAUAAGGCAUCAAAUGUAUUCCUUUAAUAACUUGAAAAAACAGGAGAAAUUUUCUAGUCCUGAAGCUGGCAACCAUAUGCCCCUGUAAUUCCCAUCCUGAGCAGAUAACUCAAACCAUACCAUGCGGUAUUGUGAUAUGUCUAUUAAUUACACCUCUGCCCUGAUAUAACACGGUAAAGCAGUGCUCCGGGGGGGAGG